rnacentral:tRNA from 1 species
CAGAAAGUAGUUUAAUUAAAAUGCCAGCUUUGGGAGUUGGUGUUGAAGGUUUAAUUCCUUUCUUUCUGA